AACGUAGGUACCGAGCGUUAUCCGGAUUUACUGGGCGUAAAGCGUGUUCAGGCGGUUCGGCAAGUCGGGCAUGAAAUCUCUCGGCUCAACCGGGAGAGGUUGUCCGAUACUGCGGGACUGGAGGGCAGUAGAGGGUGGUGGAAUUCCGGGUGUAGUGGUGAAAUGCGUAGAGAUCCGGAGGAACACCAGUGGCGAAAGCGGCCACCUGGACUGUACCUGACGCUCAAACACGAAAGCUAGGGGAGCGAACGGGAUUAGAAACCCCGGUAGUCCUAGCUAUAAACGAUGUUGACUAGGUGUCGGCGGUCUAAACCCCGCCGGUGCCGGAGCAAACGCACUAAGUCAACCGCCUGGGGACUACGGCCGCAAGGUUAAAACUCAAAGGAAUUGACGGGGACCCGCACAAGCAGCGGAGCGUGUGGUUUAAUUCGAGGCUACGCGAAGAACCUUACCAGGGAUUGACAUGACCGUAGUAGUGAAGCGAAAGCGGAACGACCCUUCGGGGAGCGGCCACAGGUGAUGCAUGGCUGUCGUCAGCUCGUGCCGUGAGGUGUUUGGUUAAGUCCACUAACGAGCGCAACCCCUAGCGCCAGUUACACGUGUCUGGCGCGACUGCCGGUAUUAAGCCGGAGGAAGGUGGGGAUGACGUCAAGUCAGCAUGUCCUUUAUACCCUGGGCGACACACACGCUACAAUGGCCAGUACAAUGGGUUGCCAAGCCGUGAGGCGGAGCCAAUCCUCAAAAGCUGGUCUCAGUUCGGAUUGCAGGCUGCAACCCGCCUGCAUGAAGUCGGAGUUGCUAGUAACCGCAGGACAGCUAUAUGCGGUGAAUACGUUCCCGGGUCUUGUACA
rnacentral:rRNA from 1 species